CGCUGGCGGCAUGCCUUACACAUGCAAGGUCGGACGGCAGCAUAGAGGAGCUUGGCUCCUCUGAUGGCGAGUGGCGAACGGGUGAGUAAAGCAUCGGAACGUGCCGUGUAGUGGGGGAUAACGUAGCGAAAGUUACGCUAAUACCGCAUACGCACCGAGGUGGAAAGCAGGGGAUCGCAAGACCUUGCGCUAUACGAGCGGCCGAUGUCAGAUUAGCUAGUUGGUAGGGUAAAGGCCUACCAAGGCGACGAUCUGUAGCGGGUCUGAGAGGAUGAUCCGCCACACUGGGACUGAGACACGGCCCAGACUCCUACGGGAGGCAGCAGUGGGGAAUUUUGGACAAUGGGCGAAAGCCUGAUCCAGCCAUGCCGCGUGCAGGAUGAAGGCCUUCGGGUUGUAAACUGCUUUUGUACGGAACGAAAAGACUCUGGUUAAUACCUGGGGUCCAUGACGGUACCGUAAGAAUAAGCACCGGCUAACUACGUG
rnacentral:rRNA from 1 species